GUGCCCAUAGCUCAGCAGGAUAGAGCGUCGGUUUCCUAAACCGCAGGCCGGAGGUUCGAAUCCUCUUGGGCACGCCA
rnacentral:tRNA from 1 species